CCUACGGGUGGCAGCAGUGGGGAAUAUUGCACAAUGGGGGAAACCCUGAUGCAGCAACGCCGCGUGGGUGAAGGAGCGUUUAGGCGCGUAAAGCCCUGUCAGCGGGGAAGAAGAAAGACGGUACCCGACCAAGAAGCCCCGGCUAACCACGUGACAGCAGCCGCGGUAAGAGGGAGGGGGCGGGCGUUAUCCGGAAGUACUGGGGGUAAAGGGAGCGUAGACGGCGGUGAAGGCCUGAAGGUGAAGCGCGCGGCCAAACCGCGGGUCUGCUUUUGGGACUGUUUUGCUGGAGUGUGGGAGGGGUAUGCGGAAUUCCUGGUGUAGCGGUGAAAUGCAUAGAUAUCAGGAGGAACUCCGAGUGCGAAGGCGGCUUACCGGCCCAUGACUGACGUUGAGGCUCGAAAGCGUGGGGAGCGAACAGGAUUAGAUACCCUAGUAGUC
rnacentral:rRNA from 1 species